UAUGCAUAAGGACAGGGCACGACCGCAGAGGGACGGCUCCAUCGAUCUGCCUCCAGAGGCGUACAUGGGAGGGGCUGCGUCGAGCCGCCGUGUCCAUCUCGCCGCCCAGCACCUCAUCCCCUCUGGCCGCCCAGAUCCCCUCGCCAUCUUCCAAGUCCAGCCCAACCACGACACGGCCGAUGUCAAGCGGGCCUCACCGUUAUGGUCAUCUUGGCGCCGCUGGGUUCUCCGCGCCGCCGAUGCCUAGGCCGACCCAACGUGCGCCGCCCGCACCCCGCGUGCAACGGCCGGGGGCUCCGCCGCCCACGAUAGCGAGCACGCUCCAGCCUGACUCACCAUGCGCCAUCUUCCCUGACGCCCUGAGGGUGGCCACCCCAGGACCUACCUGGCGGACGAGGUUGGGACGGGUCCAAGGUUCUUCGCCGAAGUCCAUGGCUUCACGAGCCCAACAACCAGAAGCAGGCAUCCAUGGAGGGAUCCUCGAAACACCACCCGAUGCUCCCUCCCUCUUCUUUCACUUCUCUAGCUAGCUGAAGGAAGGGCUCGAGCCGAGAGCGCUGCCUCCGUCGGUCUCUGGCUCCCCAGCCGGUCUCCGCUAUCCGGUCCUCGCAGGCCCUCUUCCCCUCCUCCGUUCCUUAACAAAAACAUUAAGUACUUCUUGCCUCUCCAUUCUCUUUCCUACAAUUCAAUUAACUGAGUCAGAAACAUAUUACGGGAUAUUGCCGGUUGAUCGAUUGCUUUAAUUAGUUGUUGGUUAGUAAGUCUGCCGCGUGUACACGAGUACGAGCAAUGGAUGUUUGUGAAGGCUAUGAGAUACUGGAAAUCAAGGAGCUAAUUGUUUGGGUCACUUGACUGAAUUGUAACUGCACCAUUUGAGGCGAUUUUGCCCUGGUUUUGCUGGGUGGUAAGGUGGUUUAUGGGAGUUGCUGAGUUGGUGGAAGAUUGGGGCAUUUGCAUAUGGUUGGUACUGAGGAGGACUGUGCUGCUGGAGUGGGAAGCAGGAGAGCAACCGUUGGGAUCUUGGAUUUUUUUUCCCCGAGCAGAAUGUGGACUUACUACCUUUAUAUUGAAGAUUCAACAGUUGGAAGCUGAUGUAACACGUCAGAAGUUCUCCACUCCUGCAUAAAUGGACUGCAUCAUCAACCUGCACUGUUAAGGUGAAGUUGAAGAAAAGGUAAGAGAACACUGAUUCUUCAGGAAAAACUGGAUAUGGAGCUGCAAGAUCUAAAUGAAGGACUUCGGGAUGGUACUAUUGUAAUUGUUCAUAUGCGAAUUUACAACUUGUCUGGCUAGACCUAUGUUCUGAAUAAUCUUCAUUCCUCCAUCCAUUGUAACUUCAUGUUCAAAGGUAACCACAACUGACAUAUAUGAUUCUAAUAGUCAAAAUUGUGCUCUGUUAUUCUGCUCUUUGUUCCAUCUGGACAUUUAAUUAUACCCUUUCAAAUUUAAAUUACUGAACGCGGAGAU